rnacentral:tRNA from 1 species
GGGGGGAUAGCUCAGUUGGGAGAGCGUCAGACUGAAGAUUAACUUCAAUCAUCUAUCACCAGCGCUGGUACUUCCAGGGCUCUCGGGAUAUCUGAAGGUCGCGUGUUCGAUCCACGCUCACCCCA